GUAUUGAAAUAUCCCUCGGCCAUAGAAGAGUGGUGGAGAGAAUGUUGCAAUGUCCUUCACUUUAGUCUGAAUCUUCCUAAGUACCAACGUAUAGUUCCCUGGUCUGGCCUCCAGUGCUUCAGAAGCACCACCAACCAACACAACACAUGAAUGACCAGGGCCCAUUUUUGUCAAUAUGUGUUUCAAACUUUCUCUUGAUGCUGGACAUAUACCCAUGGCCAACAAAAAUUCACGAAGAAAUGGAAUCUUAAACUGGAUGUUCAGGGUUAUUAGAUGCACAGUAAGACCCGGAAAAUGUUUUGAAAAUCCAGUUGCUUCCGAGGCGAAAUUCCCCGUUGAUCCAACAGCCAUAACGCCAUGAGGAUGGCAGCCAAAGAGGUAUUUUAAGCGGUGCCCACUCGAUUCCAAAAGCUUUCGCCAUAGUGGAGGUUUUGCAAGACUAGCAAGUAUUUGUUGAAUGAAAACAACUUAACAAAAUGGAAGCAGUUCAAGGUCCAAAGUGUAAAACAUUCACAUGUAAUUACAGGAAGUCACAAGGUCAGCAUCUUUUCGUAAGGGUAAUACAUUUUUUAAGACAACUAAAACUUAUAAAUCAACUUUUUAUCAUCUAUACUCCCUUUUCCUUCAACCAUUAUUCUAAACCAGAGGAGAACAAAUACAUUAAGAAUCACAAUCUGAGCUUAACAUCUUUGAAAUCGUUGAUAUAGACUGCAUCAAGAGCAGUGGCGUGCCGUCACGCAAGCGUAGGAAAUUCCAAUAAUCUACGAAUUUUGUUCGUUGUUCUUGAAUCUUAUCUUUCGUCUCGCGAACUUUCGUGACACAGAAGACAAUAUCGAACUGCUUACUCUCUGAAUGAUAUUAUACUUUAUAAUUACGUAAAACAACUCAAAUUUCAAGUACAUUAUCCGCUGUGUAAUAACUGCACCUUCUUUAACCAAAUAUAU